CGCUUUGAAAGGGGUGACAUGUUGGUAAUAGAAGACGAAAUAAUACAAUAUUGCUUAAUAUGUGUUACAUUUGCGAUGUAUUGUUCCGGGGCUGUGCUUGAAAGAUACAAAAUAUAUGUGCAAGGAUAGCAUGGGAGAAUGCACCGAUUCAUGAUGAGGAGUAAGGAGGACUAAAAGAAUGCUCAAUUUGCAAGACGUCUAGAUAACUGGGGCCUCUUGGACCCUGGGAACUGGAUCAAACCAACCUUGCGGUUUGGACUGAGACCGGGGGCUCAGAGAGCAUGCGUAAGAAGAAAAGGUUAAAAAGUUCAACUCUGAUGAAGACAUCUUACUUCAUCCCGACGACCACCCGGACGACCACCAGAGAGUAAUACGCAAGCGCAGAAGGACUGAUCAGAUAAUUAGCAUAUGAAGCGGGGCUAGGCAGAGCUAGGAAAUGAAUAUGCAUAGACGUGUUGUGAAACUUAAUGCAUAUGUAAUAUUUUAGGAGAUAAAAGAGAACUGAGUGAACAAAUCGGACAAAGUUAGAUUUGGGCAGGCAUGCCCCUAACUUCCGGCGCCUAAUAAAGCACCUUCAUAUAAUCACUUUGUGGAUUAUGUGUGUUCAUGAACGC